GCUACGGGUGGCUGCAGUGAGGAAUAUUGGUCAAUGGCCGCAGGGCUGAACCAGCCAAGUCGCGUGAGGGAUGACGGUCCUAUGGAUUGUAAACCUCUUGUGUCAGGGAGCAAAGGGCGCCAAGUGUGGCGUUUUGCGAGUACCUGAAGAAAAAGCAUAGGCUAACUCCGUGCCAGCAGCGGCGGGAAUACGGUGGAGGCGAGCGUUAUCCGGUUUUAUUGGGGUGCAAGGGUGCGCGGGCGGAAUGGCAAGUCAGCGGUAAAAUUUCGGGGCUCAACCCCGUCGUGCCGUUGAAACUGGCGUUCUUGAGUGAGCGAGAAGUAUGCGGAAUGCGUGGUGUAGCGGUGAAAUGCAUAGAUAUCACGCAGAACUCCGAUUGCGAAGGCAGCAUACCGGCGCUCAACUGACGCUCAUGCACGAAAGCGUGGGUAUCGAACAGGAUUAGAUACCCCAGUAGUC
rnacentral:rRNA from 1 species